UACGAAGGGGGCUAGCGUUGUUCGGAAUUACUGGGCGUAAAGCGCGUGUAGGCGGUUGCCCAAGUCGGGUGUGAAAGCCCCGGGCUCAACCUGGGAAUUGCAUUCGAGACUGAAUAGCUAGGGUACGGUAGAGGGAAGCGGAAUUUCCGGUGUAGCGGUGAAAUGCGUAGAUAUCAGGAGGAACACCAGCGGCGAAGGCGGCGCUCUGGGCCGGUACUGACACUGAGGAGCGAAAGCGUGGGUAGCAAACAGG
rnacentral:rRNA from 1 species